UACGAAGGGGGGCUAGCGUUGCUCGGAAUCACUGGGCGUAAAGCGCACGUAGGCGGAUUGUUAAGUCAGGGGUGAAAUCCUGGAGCUCAACUCCAGAACUGCCUUUGAUACUGGCGAUCUCGAGUCCGGGAGAGGUGAGUGGAACUGCGAGUGUAGAGGUGAAAUUCGUAGAUAUUCGCAAGAACACCAGUGGCGAAGGCGGCUCACUGGCCCGGUACUGACGCUGAGGUGCGAAAGCGGUGGGGAGCAAACGGGG
rnacentral:rRNA from 1 species